rnacentral:tRNA from 4 species
GCACUACUAAGUUAAUGGCAGACUAUUUUACUUCGGAUAAAAAUGUGUGGGUUCGAAUCCUCCGUGGUGCU